GGAGGAUUCGCCUAGUGGCCUAGGGCGCACGCUUGGAAAGCGUGUUGGGGGCAACCCCCUCACGAGUUCGAAUCUCGUAUCCUCCG
rnacentral:tRNA from 1 species